CCUACGGGUGACAGCAGUGAGGAAUAUUGGUCAAUGGGCGAGAGUCUGAACCAGCCAAGUAGCGUGAAGGAUGACUGCCCUAUGGGUUGUAAACUUCUUUUAUAUGGGAAUAAAGUGUUCCACGUGUGGGACUUUGUAUGUACCAUAUGAAUAAGGAUCGGCUAACUCCGUGCCAGCAGCCGCGGUAAUACGGAGGCUCCGAGCGUUAUCCGGAUUUAUUGGGUUUAAAGGGGGCUAAGGCGGCUUGUCAAGUCAGCGGUAAAAGCUCGGGGCUCAACCCGGGACGGCCGUUGACCCUGGCAGUCUCGAGUGGGAGAGAGGUAUGCGGAAUGCGCGGUGUAGCGGUGAAAUGCAUAGAUAUCGCGCAGAACUCCGAUUGCGAAGGCAGCAUGCCGGCUCCUAACUGACGCUGAGGCACGAAAGCGUGGGUAUCGAACAGGAUUAGAUACCCCGGUAGUC
rnacentral:rRNA from 1 species